CUGAAACCAAACAUUUGAGGAAUAAAUAGGGAAUUAUAUCCGUUAAGCUUUUUUAUACUGUUUUUGAAAAUUACAGAGAAAUCAAAACAUCUCUGAUGUUCCAGGCUGGGAGCUUCAGAAAAGAAUCUUGGGUGUGGUUUCCUACCACUUUUAGUUAGGAAAAUCCCAAAAGCAACAAACAAGCUGAAAGCAGCAAGCAAGCAAGCAGUAAUACGUUAUUGGAAGA